GACGAACGCUGGCGGCGUGCUUGACACAUGCAAGUCGAACGGAAAGGCCUGCUUUCCCUUGUGGAUUGCGGGUACUCGAGUGGCGAACGGGUGAGUAACACGUGAGUGAUCUGCCCCCAACUUGGGUAUAAGCCUGGGAAACUGGGUCUAAUUCCCGAUAGGACUGCAGGGUGGUGCCUGUGGUGGAAAACGAUUUUCUAGUGGUUGGGGAUGAGCUCGCGGCCUAUCAGCUUGUUGGUGGGGUAAUGGCCUACCAAGGCGGCGACGGGUAGCCGGCCUGAGAGGGUGGACGGCCACAUUGGGACUGAGAUACGGCCCAGACUCCUACGGGAGGCAGCAGUGGGGAAUAUUAGACAAUGGGCGGAAGCCUGAUGCAGCGACGCCGCGUGGGGGAUGACAGCCUUCGGGUUGUAAACUCCUUUCGACCGCGAGGAAGCCACCUGGUUGGAAGGGUGGUGACGGUAGUGGUAGAAGAAGCACCGGCUAACUACGUG
rnacentral:rRNA from 1 species